rnacentral:rRNA from 1 species
UGAAAAGAAACCUUGGAGAGAGAGUCAAAAAGACCGCAAAACCGUUAGGAGGGAAACGAAUGCAGCUAAAGUAGCUCCCCUUCAGGCUCAGGAAGUGUCGAAUCAGCUUGCUGGCCGGUGGAAGCCGCAAGGCUCCAGCGGUUGGACGGCUGGUUGACUGAUCUGCACUCCUGGGGGGAGCUGGCCAACAACAGUUGCCUCUGGCUCACGAGGGUGUUUGGGUAGGUAGCCUCCUCGUCUCGAGGUGGAACUUAUAGCCAUCCAUCUGGCAGUCUGGAGACGACUGAGGAGAGAUGUGAACUUUCACACUUGCAGCACAGGCCCUCCUGGGCCGGGCCGCCUCUUUCCGUUUGGGUACCGCUCCGGGGACUGCAUGCAGUGUCCGCUGACGAAUGCCUGCUUGGUGGGGGGAAUGGUCACGCCUUGUGCUGCAGUUGUUGGUGUCCAAAUGGCUGCAUCCGACCCGUCUGAAAAACACGGAA